UGGGGAAUUUUGCGCAAUGGGGGAAACCCUGACGCAGCAACGCCGCGUGAGUGAUGAAGGCCUUCGGGUCGUAAAGCUCUGUCAGAGGGGAAGAAAUGCAGGGGUGCUAAUAUCAUCUUUGCUUGACAGUACCCUCGAAGGAAGCACCGGCUAACUCCGUGCCAGCAGCCGCGGUAAUACGGAGGGUGCGAGCGUUGUUCGGAAUUAUUGGGCGUAAAGCGCGUGUAGGCGGUUUGGUAAGUCUGAUGUGAAAGCCCCGGGCUCAAUCUGGGAAGUGCAUUGGAAACUGUCAGACUUGAAUACGGGAGAGGGUAGUGGAAUUCCUAGUGUAGGAGUGAAAUCCGUAGAUAUUAGGAGGAACACCGGUGGCGAAGGCGGCUACCUGGACCGAUAUUGACGCUGAGACGCGAAAGCGUGGGGAGCAAACAG
rnacentral:rRNA from 1 species